GGAUCUCAGUUCAUAGUCAGAUAUCAAACCCCUGUAUUGUCUGACUGAACAAAGGAGUAGAAAUCUAUCUGGCAGGCCUCUAUGUACCCCGAAGGCUAGAACAAACCUUCCAGAGCUACAAAUGGAGAGGGACUACUAUAAGUUUGUAUAACGGGUAGAGAAAAGGCCUCACAGUUUGUAACUUGAUUGGUUCACUUGUAAUAGAAGCCUGUGGCUUAAAGGGAAAUUUCUGACUUUGUCUCUGAACUUACCUAUACAUCCUGCUGGUUAGGAAUAACAUUUGUGCUAGCUGUUGCUGGAGAAACGGAUUUUGAAUCCAGAGGUAAAAGUAAUCUGUGAAAAGAUUUGGAGAAUAUGUGCAGAGAUAGAAGAGAUUCCACGAAUACUCUAUCAGCCUCUAAAUCUUGUGAUGACCCUCUUCGUUUACUGUGGGGUUGUCAGACCAGGGCCUUCUUUGACCCAGAAAUUGUAUUAGAAAUAGAGAGAGAGGUGUGGCCCGAGGUUUUAAGUCAGGGACGACUUACCACUCUCCCUGGCCUUUGGGUCCUAGUACUUGGCUUAGAACUUCUUGAAUUUUAAUUUUCAAAGAUGAUCGUAUGAACAAAGCUGGCUCUUUUACUGUGUCACUCUGUUGGUAUGCUUCAUUGAUGCUUCCUGGUCCCUCCCAUCCUCUAUUGGUGUUAAGUAAUUAGAAGACAUUUCAGUUUACCUCAGAAUAUUCAGAACCACUAAACACACGUCUACUAACUCUUGCAUCUAAUCAAGUCAGUCUGUUCGGUUGUUAGCUGGUUGGAUAACCAGACACAAGGGAGAACUCCACAACUGAGAAACAGGGAAGAGCAUGGGACCAUCUAACAAAGGGACAGAGGGUCUGGAAAACAACCAAAGACUAAAAGCCUGUGUUUUGCAGAUCAGUUAUCUGUACUGUCUGGCCCAGCCCCCCAUAACUUGAGUUUAGGCUAGAACUAGUUCUGAAGACCGGCGGAUACACUAGGGACCUGCUCUCACUGUCUCAGGCGGUCUACACAGCCCAUGUCCAGCCUAGCCAUUGUCCUGGGUGGUGAGACCAUAAACAGAGCAUUCUAAUGCCUUCCUGUCCUUUUGGUUUAUUGUUAUUGUUGGUUUGUUUGUUUGUUUGUUUGUUUUUGCAUUUGUACCUAUUUGCAGAGUGUUGAAAUAAGUUGUUUAUGUCACAUCUUAUCUCUUUUCAUUAAAAAUAGAGGAACACAAUUAAGCCUUCCAUAGUUUGGGGGUCAUCUGCCUUCCUGUUAUUUUGGAUUCUUUCUUGUUACGGUGUCAUUACACUAUGCAUGUGAGGAAACAAACAUGUAGGUGCUUGAACAUGCCCCACAGAUGCACUUGUAGCCCUGGUGUUUGUGACUGUCGUGACUAACACAGUGCAGACUUUACACACAGAGCGCUACACUCUGGCAGGACUUAAGAACUAUGUAUAUUAAGGAAUUCUCUUUCUGGAGCAAUCAACUCUUGCAGGCAGAUGAACUGCCUGGAGCUCUGAAUGGGAUGGCUUUCCAUCUGGCGUCAAAGUUCAGUGAGCUUAUAUGAAAUGAAGCUUUGAAAUGUUUUACCUGUGCAGAAAUAUGAAUUAGAAACAAAAAAGUGCUGGUCUAAUGCUAAGUUUUUUUCCUCUGUGUACGGACUCAGUUGCCAGAAUUAUAAUGAAAACUGUAUUUUAGUCUAACAAAUGUAUAGAAUUUUUUAAUGUAAUAAAUAAAAUUUUAUAGGAAAGC
rnacentral:lncRNA from 1 species